AGAAGAUCAAGUGUAUGCUGACAUCUUUGGAGAUGAUUGAUUCACCCCGUCUGGCCGGAGUGGAGAGGAGAGCAGGAAUAGAUCCUCCCCAGAGCUGAAGCUUCCAGCUGCCCUGCCAUGGCUCCACCACCACAGUGUCACUUCACUAGCAUGGYCCCCCCCUCAUCCCUCCACCUCUCUUAGAUCUCGCCAUCUCUUGUCUCCGGCAAGCUGCUGCAAUCAGCACAGGCUCUGAUUGGACUUGGGCAGUUCCAGGUGGGAUGUGGCUAACUUUGGCAAAAGGACAAUCAAGCCACCCUGUCUCGUGACAUCACUGCCAGUCUCGACUCCUCCAGCUGGAGCAGAAUGCUGGACCUCAGCGAGGACCCAGUGCUGGUAAUAAUUUUUUGGGCCUUUUUUUGGCACCASUCCUCUGACAGCAUACCGCCAGCUCCGAGCCCCAGUCUCAGCCUCAACRCCAGCUCUGGUUCCAUUUCUAUGUAGGAGUGUUACUGGAAAUCGGUCCAGUGGGACCUGGCUCCAAUAAUUAUUUCAGGCCUGACCUGCCAGCAUCUGUAGCAAACUUUGGACGAUAUGGGCUGGUAUUAGCAAGAACACUUAUCCGGCGAUGAUACAUCGUUUUCCAAAACCUGUGAAAAUAAACGUUUUAUUGUGGUCCAUUUUUCUGCUCUAUAGCUUUACAGC